rnacentral:rRNA from 1 species
UACAGAGGUCCCAAGCGUUGUUCGGAUUCACUGGGCGUAAAGGGUGCGUAGGUGGUUAGGUAAGUCCGAUGUGAAAUCUCCAGGCUCAACCUGGAAAUGGCAUUGGAUACUAUCUAGCUUGAGGAGUGGAGGGGGGACUGGAAUUCUCGGUGUAGCAGUGAAAUGCGUAGAUAUCGAGAGGAACACCAGUGGCGAAGGCGGGUCUCUGGACAGUUCCUGACACUGAGACACGAAGGCCAGGGGAGCAAACGGG